rnacentral:rRNA from 1 species
CAUGAGUUCGAGGUGGACGAGGAUGGUGAGGGCAUUGUCGACGCACCGAAAGGAAGAGCAGGGAAUUACACCAACGUUGAAGACAUCUUACUAUGCAAUACUUGGUUGCAAGUGUCGAGGGAUCCAUCUGUUGGAGGUGAUCAAAGUAGAGAUGCUUAUUGGCUGCAGAUGAAGGAAUACUUUGAUGUUCGCAACGGGAGUGGAACUGACCGCUCCGAUCGAUCUCUUCGCUCCCGGUGGUCGACAAUAAACAAGGAUUGUCAAAAGUGGGCGGCCGCACAAAAGGCGGUUGACAAG